rnacentral:rRNA from 1 species
AUGCAAGUCGAACGAACCUUCGGGUUAGUGGCGGACGGGUGAGUAACGCGUGAGAAUCUGCCCUCAGGAGGGGGACAACAGCUGGAAACGGUUGCUAAUACCCCAUAUGCCGCGAGGUGAAAUGAAUUUCGCCUGAGGAUGAGCUCGCGUCUGAUUAGCUAGUUGGUGUAGGUAAUGGCUCACCAAGGCAUCGAUCAGUAGCUGGUCUGAGAGGAUGAUCAGCCACACUGGGACUGAGACACGGCCCAGACUCCUACGGGAGGCAGCAGGGGGGAAUUUUCCGCAAUGGGCGAAAGCCUGACGGAGCAACGCCGCGUGAGGGAUGAAGGCCUCUGGGCUGUAAACCUCUUUUAUCAAGGAAGAAGAUCUGACGGUACUUGAUGAAUAAGCCACGGCUAAUUCCGUGCCAGCAGCCGCGGUAAUACGGGAGUGGCAAGCGUUAUCCGGAAUUAUUGGGCGUAAAGCGUCCGCAGGCGGCCCUUCAAGUCUGCUGUUAAAAAGUGGAGCUUAACUCCAUCGUGGCAGUGGAAACUGUUGGGCUUGAGUGUGGUAGGGGCAGAGGGAAUUCCCGGUGUAGCGGUGAAAUGCGUAGAUAUCGGGAAGAACACCAGUGGCGAAGGCGCUCUGCUGGGCCAUCACUGACGCUCAUGGACGAAAGCCAGGGGAGCGAAAGGGAUUAGAUACCCCUGUAGUCCUGGCCGUAAACGAUGAACACUAGGUGUCGGGGGAAUCGACCCCCUCGGUGUCGUAGCCAACGCGUUAAGUGUUCCGCCUGGGGAGUACGCACGCAAGUGUGAAACUCAAAGGAAUUGACGGGGGCCCGCACAAGCGGUGGUAGUAUGUGGUUUAAUUCGAUGCAACGCGAAAACCUUACCAGGGUUUGACAUCCUGCGAAUCUCUUGUAAACAGGAGAGUGCUUUCGGGAACGCAGUGACAGGUGGUGCAUGGCUGUCGUCGCUCGUGUCCGGGAUGUUGGGUUAAGUCCCGCAACGAGGCGCAACCAAGUCUUUAGUUGCAGCAUUAAGUUGGGCACUCUAGAAAGACUUGCCCGGGGAAAACCCGAGGAAGGUGUGGAUGAAGGUCAAGGUCUUCAUGCCCUUUACUUCUGGGCUACCACCGUUCUACA